AAUGAAGAAUCUCACUCGGCUGUAUUUUUGUAUACAGGACGGAUGUGUAUAAUUCAGUAUGGUCUACUGUUUGGCGGGCAAUGCGUCAUUUAACAGACGGCACGGUAUACUGGUUGCCACAUAGCGUAGAUUUCUAAGUCGGUUUUCAGAGAGGGCGCAAACCUGUCGUAGAGCAAAAAGUGAAACGCUUGAUCCUGACUUUCAGUACAAGUACAGACCACGAAAGCGUGGGCUAUCGAUCCUUUUAAUCCAAAUGGCUUUGGUAAAAAGUGUCAGAAAAGUUACCACAUGGAUAACUGAUUUGUGGAAACCAAGUAACCAUAGUGACAUUGCUUCUUAACCUCCAUGUCGGUUUUUGCAAAUGUAUUU
rnacentral:ncRNA from 1 species